rnacentral:rRNA from 1 species
GAUGAACGCUGGCGGCGUGCCUAAUACAUGCCAGUCGAGCGAACAGACGAGGAGCUUGCUCCUCUGACGUUAGCGGCGGACGGGUGAGUAACACGUGGAUAACCUACCUAUAAGACUGGGAUAACUUCGGGAAACCGGAGCUAAUACCGGAUAAUAUAUUGAACCGCAUGGUUCAAUAGUGAAAGACGGUUUUGCUGUCACUUAUAGAUGGAUCCGCGCCGCAUUAGCUAGUUGGUAAGGUAACGGCUUACCAAGGCGACGAUGCGUAGCCGACCUGAGAGGGUGAUCGGCCACACUGAACUGAGACACGGUCCAGACUCCUACGGGAGGCAGCAGUAGGGAAUCUUCCGCAAUGGGCGAAAGCCUGACGGAGCAACGCCGCGUGAGUGAUGAAGGUCUUCGGAUCGUAAAACUCUGUUAUUAGGGAAGAACAAAUGUGUAAGUAACUAUGCACGUCUUGACGGUACCUAAUCAGAAAGCCACGGCUAACUACGUG